rnacentral:rRNA from 1 species
UACGUAGGUGGCGAGCGUUAUCCGGAAUUAUUGGGCGUAAAGAGCGCGCAGGUGGUUGAUUAAGUCUGAUGUGAAAGCCCACGGCUUAACCGUGGAGGGUCAUUGGAAACUGGUCGACUUGAGUGCAGAAGAGGGAAGUGGAAUUCCAUGUGUAGCGGUGAAAUGCGUAGAGAUAUGGAGGAACACCGAUGGCGAAGGCAGCCCCCUGGGCUAGCACUGACGCUCAGGCACGAAAGCGUGGGGAGCAAACAGG